rnacentral:rRNA from 1 species
GAUGAACGCUGGCGGCGUGCUUAACACAUGCAAGUCGAGCGAGGGAGUCUCUUCGGAGAUGAACUAGCGGCGGACGGGUGAGUAACACGUGGGCAACCUGCCUUACAGAGGGGGAUAGCCUUCCGAAAGGAAGAUUAAUACCGCAUAUUAUGAGUUUUCUGCAUGGGGAAUUCAUGAAAGGAGCAAUCCGCUGUAAGAUGGGCCCGCGGCGCAUUAGCUAGUUGGUGAGGUAAGGGCUCACCAAGGCGACGAUGCGUAGCCGACCUGAGAGGGUGAUCGGCCACAUUGGGACUGAGACACGGCCCAGACUCCUACGGGAGGCAGCAGUGGGGAAUAUUGCACAAUGGGGGAAACCCUGAUGCAGCAACGCCGCGUGAGUGAUGAAGGCCUUCGGGUUGUAAAGCUC